ensembl:lncRNA
CAGUAAGAUAACUCAGAACACUAACUAACAGCUAAACUACUACGGUAACUCAGGACACUAACUAACAGCUAAACUACUACGGUAACUCAGGACACUAACUAACAGCUAAACUACUAAGGUAACUCAAGACACUAACUAAAAGCUAAACUACUACGGUAACUCUAACUCCUGACCAAUGAUGUGGUCUGUGGAGCCUAUUCUUUCUGAGGAUAGUAUCCACUGUGGUCUUUCACUUUGUUGGACAUCAUGAUCAAACUAACGGCACAAAACCAAACUAGCGUGAGGCUACUGAACUCCUACAGCACGGUGUGAACCCCAAUCUCUGCCGGGACUCUCUCUCCUUACCUAAUUACGGUCCUAUUCUCUGAGGAUAUCCUCUGUCUUGUCAUUACGUUGACCGUGUCUACGUUCUGAAUAUUUCAGUUUUUCGUCCCGGCUAAUAAGAUGCGAAUGUUUGUUUGUUUGUGUUUUUAUGAAUAUUCAACACAAUGUCAUUUUAACUGCCCUCUGUCUAUUAUAAUUUCACAAAACAACGAAUGAAACUCAUAUCGAUCCCUCAUUUCCCCCACAGCUAAAGGCUGGAGUUAUGAAUACCGUGGGCAUUCCCAAGACAAAGUCAAGGCCCCUGGACGAGUCUCCAUCCCGUUGCUGUGAUGAAGUCUGUCUUUACUGACCAGCUGCUCUUUCUGUCUCAUUUAUACUCCACUGUGCUGAAUGCUUUGUUACCAUGUUAGUUUGUCUUAGAUGUGAGUCAUAUUUUUCAUAUCGUGCAAAAUUAUUUUUAUUAAUAAAAAUUGAAAAAA